rnacentral:lncRNA from 1 species
GGAACCCUUGCUUUUUUUGUGGGAAUCUGGUGUUUUGGUCCGUGCCAGGCAGAGGAUGCCUGCAUGACCAGCCCCAGGGAAACCCUUGGGCAUGGAGUCUCCCACGGGCUGCCUGGGGCGGGGACACUGCUGCAGGAGGAGAGUGCUCUGUGUCACCUUCCUGGGAGAGGGAGCAUCAGGAAGCCUGGGUACGGAUUCUUCUAGACUCCAUGUCUCAGUCAGCUCAGGCUGCUGUAAGGAAAUACCACAGACGCGGGGCUUUCAACAACAGACAUUUACUUCUCAGAGUUCUGGAGGCUGGAAGCACGAGAUAAAGGUGCCGGCAGGUUCGGUUCCUGGUGAGGGCCUGUUUCGCGCCCUGCAGACGGCUGCGUCCCACUGUGGGUUUUCCCCUUAUGAUGCAGUGGUGUGUCUGACUCCACGGCUGAAAUCGCUCUUUGCCACGGAUACAGCUAGAUGUUGAAAACCGUUCUGGCCUGUCUGCUCAGAGGACGUGUUUGUCAGGAGUUUCCAGACUGGCCCUGGAGGGGAACUCAGAAUUUGUCCGCAGGACGAUGCUGCCUCCCCCUGUGGAAGUCGUGGAUGGACGAGCAAACGGAUAAGAGCGGGAGCAGGCUCUCAUCUCCUGCUGGUGCUUCCCAGUGGCCAAACCAGGAGAGGCACAAGGGCAUGGAGAUCGGCUUCCUGGGCCUGGGACAGAGGAGAAGGGCAGAGAGCGGAUCUGGAGAAUAACCAGCAUGUCCUUGAAUCACAGAUCUGCUGCUUACUAGAUGCGUGCUCUCAGGCCAGAGAGUUACCAUCUCUGAGCCUUGGUUUCCGUAACUGUAAAGUGGGCAGGGGGCAGUGGUGAAGUUCAGCGACUCCAGAAUCAAAUGCCGAGUGAAAAUCCCAGCUCAGACAUUCUUGUGUGAUUUCCAGCAAGUCAGUUAACCCCCAGCGCCUCGGUUUCCUCAAGUGUAAGCUUGGAUGAUGCCUGAACCUGCCUCACAGAACUGUGGAGAUGAUUAAGUGAAUCAACGCCGGGAGGGGCUCAGAACAGCGCCUGGCACAGAGCAAGCGCAACUUGUGUGCUUGGCAUUUUCAAAUAACAACAAACCAUAUUUGCUCAAGGAACAGACUUUGGUUGGAAAGUUCUUUUAAUCGGUUCCUGGGUGGCCAACAAGCAGUCCGCUCUGCUUAGAACUAGGAGACCCCAGCUCCAGCCUCGGCCCUGCCCUUACUGGCUGUGUCACUUGGGGAAAGUUACUGGAUCUUUCUGAGCCCC